rnacentral:rRNA from 1 species
CCUACGGGGGGCUGCAGUGGGGAAUAUUGGACAAUGGGGGGAACCCUGAUCCAGCCAUGCCGCGUGUGUGAAGAAGGCCCUCGGGUUGUAAAGCACUUUCAGUGAGGAAGAACGCCUGGUGGUUAAUACCCAUCAGGAAAGACAUCACUCACAGAAGAAGCACCGGCUAACUCCGUGCCAGCAGCCGCGGUAAUACGGAGGGUGCGAGCGUUAAUCGGAAUUACUGGGCGUAAAGCGCGCGUAGGUGGCUUGAUAAGCCGGUUGUGAAAGCCCCGGGCUCAACCUGGGAACGGCAUCCGGAACUGUCAAGCUAGAGUGCAGGAGAGGAAGGUAGAAUUCCCGGUGGAGCGGUGAAAUGCGUAGAGAUCGGGAGGAAUACCAGUGGCGAAGGCGGCCUUCUGGACUGACACUGACACUGAGGUGCGAAAGCGUGGGUAGCAAACAGGAUUAGAUACCCCGGUAGUC